ACCUAACCAACCAAAACAACAAAGGCAACGAACACUAGCCAAUCAAAGGCAGGUCUUCGCGGAAUACCGGUAAGAAAAAAAAAAAAGCUUCUCUUCACUGCGUGGUAGCAGGUAGUCGGGGACUGUUCCUGACUCGCUUAACACGAAUAACCAAGCUUAAAACGUAAAGGUCUUUCUCAUUUCUGAUAUGUCUGAUCUUGGUGGGAUGUGGAACAGAACCUAAUUCUUUGGGGAGCUCAUAUUGUUUUGAUAAAUGCUGAAUUCCAGCGCAUAACAACAAUCCCACUUGAAACAACCUUCAUGGUGCAGUUGGACAGCCAUUUAACCCUGCUGGGGAGGUGUUUCUGGCCAGAAACUAGCCACACAUCUGGCGAUCUUGCAAGAGGUAAACAUGUAUA